CCUACGGGCUGCACCAGUAGGGAAUCUUCGGCAAUGGACGAAAGUCUGACCGAGGAACGCCGCGUGAGUGAAGAAGGUUUUCGGAUCGUAAAACUCUGUUGUUAGAGAAGAACAAGUGGGAGAGUAACUGUUCCCACCUUGACGGUAUCUAACCAGAAAGCCACGGCUAACUACGUGCCAGCAGCCGCGGUAAUACGUAGGUGGCAAGCGUUGUCCGGAUUUAUUGGGCAUAAAGCGAGCACAGGCGGUUUCUUAAGUCUGAUGUGAAAGCCCCCGGCUCAACCGGGGAGGGUCAUUGGAAACUGGGAGACUUGAGUGCAGAAGAGGAGAGUGGAAUUCCAUGUGUAGCGGUGAAAUGCGUAGAUAUAUGGAGGAACACCAGUGGCGAAGGCGGCUCUCUGGUCUGUAACUGACGCUGAGGCUCGAAAGCGUGGGGAGCAAACAGGAUUAGAUACCCUCGUAGUC
rnacentral:rRNA from 1 species